GUUGCUGGGAAACAUCUGCCGACGCCUGCGGACCGGCCGACAUGGCGNNNNNNNGGCGGCCUUCCUGCUCCUCGCGGCCCAGGUGAGGCUGCGUCGGCCCCGCCGGCCCCGCCGGUUGCGGCACCCGGGCCCUCUGCCCCAGCCCCGCGCAAGCCCCGACUGGCCUGGCCUGGGGGCCCGCCUCGGGUUUGCGCGCCUCCAGCGCGGCUGGCCCCCAGGCCCGGAGCUCGGCCGUGACCUUGCGGGCCUGUCCCCGGCCAGCCUCUCUUUCCUGCCUUGGAGCCUUCCCCAGCUGCAGCGUCACUCAGCUGUGCCGGGGUCUGAAGUUUGGGAAUUCCCUUACCUCCUCAGGCCCUGCUCUGUCUCGAGGUCUCCAACCGCCGCCGGGGGCGCCGCUGCCUGGCCCCGUGGCCUUGGGCAGGGGGCUGCCCCUCCCCGAGCCUCAGUUUCCCCUUGCGCGCGUUGUUAGCGCCCACCCCCGUGGUUGCGGUGAGCCGUCCAACGCGGCACCCAGUGCCUGACUGUGUCCGGGAGCGGCAAGGGGCCCAUCCUGGGAGUGGGGUCGAAUCGCCGCCCUGCAUUUUGUCCCGUGACCUUGGGCAAGGGAGGUCCCCUCUUUGGCCGUCUGUUGCGCUUCUGCAAAAGGAAGAGAGGAGCACAGCGAGGACUGAGCGGGAUGAUGCAUGGGGUGAUUUACGUGCGGCGUGCAUCUUCUUGGGCACUUAAGUGAAGGGUCUCCCCGGGGAGUGGGGGACCUGCCAUGAGCCGGCUAUGUACGUUAUCAUAAGCGCCUUUUUUAUUUUCAAGUCCUCUCUCCCCUGGGUUAUGCAGUUCAGGGAAUGGUGUCCCUACAGCCCUGCACCCACAGCCAUUAACCUUGAUGUAUCCACUCCAGCCCACCACCUCCACGUAUCUCCUGGUGGCCAGUGUUCUCUCUGUGGUCACUUUCGUCUCCCACAUUCUCCAAUCCAUCCUGGACACAGCAGGAGUGACCUCUUUGAAAGUGUGUCAAGUCUCGUGGCAUCCAGAUGAGAGCCUUCCCAUGGCUUUCAGUGCAUUUGGGAGGCCUCUGUGGUUUGGCUGCUUGGGAAGAAACUUCCUCUCCUUUUCUAUUUGCGGAGGGCACUCAGUUCUCUGGUCUUCCCCGUUUCCCUGGGAUGCCCCUGGUCAUCCUUGUGGUCUCAGCUUGCUUGUUCUUCCCUCCUCCCCAGAGACGCUCUCUGGGACGCCCCCUCCCCAGCCCCCAGCACUCCUCCCGAUGCUGCUCACUCAUUUCCUCGUCUGAGCAAGCUGAGGGCAGGGACUUUGAGCUCUCCAGACAUUUUGAAGGAGAACAAAGUGAGAAGUGGACAAAGGGCAAUGGGAGCACCAUGGAGAGAGUGACCUGGUUUGCUUGGGGAGGCUUUUCAGAAGCAGAGGCACCUAAAGGGUGUUCUGAAGGGUGGAUAAGAGUUUGCCAGGUCUCUCUCUCUCUCUCUCUCUCUCUCUCACACACACACACACACACACACACACACACACCAAAAAAAAAAAAAAAAAGUCCACGCUCCUGGAUAGGAAGAACAAAUAUUGUUAAAACGUCGCUAACUACUGAAAGCAAUCUACAUAUUCAAUGCAUUACCUAGCACUGAAUGCAUUACCCCAGGAUUGUUCAUGGAGCUAGAACAAACAAUCCUACAAUUUGUACGGAACCAGAAGAGACCCCGAAUAGCCAAUGCAAUCCUAAAAAAGAAAACUAAGGCUGGAGGCAUCACAAUCCCAGACUUCAAGCUGUAUUACAAAGCUGUAGUCAUCAAGACAGUAUGGUACUGGCACAAAAACAGACACUCAGAUCAAUGGAACAGAAUAGAGAACCCAGAUAUGGACCCACAGACGUAUGGCCAACUAACCUUUGAUAAAGCAGGAAAGAAUAUCCAGUGGAAUAAAGACAGUCUCUUCAGCAAGUGGUGCUGGGAAAACUGGACAGCGACAGGCAGAAGAAUGAACCUGGACCACUUUCUUAAACCAGACACAAAAAUAAACUCAACAUGGAUGACAGACCUAAACGUAAGACAGGAAGCCGUCAAAAUCUGAGGAGAAAGCAGGCAAAAACCUCUUUGAUCUUGGCCGCAGCAACUUCUUACUCAACACGUCUCCAGAGGCAAGGGAAACAAAAGCAAAAAUGAACUACUGGGACCUCAUCCAAAUAAAAAGCUUCUGCAUAGCGAAGGAAACAAUCAGGAAAACUGAAAGGCAGCUGACGGAAUGGGAAAAGUAUUUGCAAAUGACAUAUCAGAUAAAGGGUUAGUAUCCAAAAUCUAUAAAGAACUUAUCAAACUCAACACCCAAAAAACAAAUAAUCCAUGGGCAAAAGAGCUGAACAGACACUUCUCCAAAGAAGACAACCAGAUGGCCAACCGACACGUGAAAAAAUGCUCCACAUCACUCAUCAUCAGGGAAAUACAAAUCAAAACCACAAGGAGAUACCACCUCGCGCCUGUCAGAAUGUCUAACAUUAACAGCUCAGGCAACACAGAUGUUGGCGAGGAUGCAGACGAAGAGGAUCUCUUUUGCACUGCUGGUGGGAAACAGCCACUCUGGAAAACAGUCUGGAGCUUCCUCAAAAAACGAAAAAUAGAACUACCCUACAACCCAGCAAUUGCACUACUAGGCAUUUAUCCACGGGAUACAGGUGUGCUGUUUCGAAGGGACACUUGCACCCCUAUGUUUAUAGCAGCCCUAUCAACAAUAGCCAAAGUGUGGAAAGAGCCCAAAUGUUCAUUGACGGAUGAAUGGAUAAAGAAGAUGUGGUAUAAUACAAUGGAGUAUUACUCAGCAAUCAAGAAGAAUGAAAGCUUGCCAUUUGCAACAGUGUGGAUAGAACUAGAGUGUAUUAUGCUAAGGGAAAUUAGUGAGAGAAAGACAAAUAUGUGACUUCACUCGUGGAAGGGAAGCAAAAAUAAUACAAAUACAGGGAGGGGGACAAAAUAUAAGACUUUUUUUUUUUUUAAUGUUUAUUUUUGACAGAGACAGAGACAGAGUAGAAGCGGGGUGGGGCAGAGAGAGAGACACAGGAUCUGAAGCAGGCUCCAGGCUCUGAGCUGUCUGCACAGAGCCUGACGUGGGGCUCGAACUCAAGAACCGCGAGAUCGUGACCUGAGCCGAAGUCAGACGCUUAACCAACUGAGCCACUCAGGCGCCCCAAGAGACUCUUAAAGAUAGAGAACAAACUGAGGGCUGCUGGAGGGGUUGCGGGUGGGGGGAUGCGCUAAAUGGGCAAGGGGCAUUAAGGAGGACACUUGUUGGGAUGAGCACUCAGUGUUAUACGUAGGGGAUGAAUCACUGAAUUCUACUGAAAUCAUUGCACUAUAUGCUAACUAACUUGGAUGCAAAUUAAAAAUAAAUAUAUUAUUUUUAAAAAACGGGGAAAUUAAAAGCCGAAGCAAAUGUGACAAAAUAUUAAAGUGAGUUGAGGGGCGUCUGGGUGGCUCAGUUGGUUAAGCGUCUAGCUUGGGCUCAGGUCAUGAUCUCACAGUUCGUGAGUUCGAGCCCCAUGUCGGGCUCUGUGCUGACAGAGCCUGGAGCCUGUUUCAGAUUCUGUGCCUCCCUCUCUCUCUGCCCCUCCCCUGCUCACACUCUGUCUCUCUUUCAAAAAUAAACAAUAAAAAAAUACAGUGAGCUGAGCUGAGUACGUAUUUCAUACUAUCUCAUAAUAUAGUUAUUUUAUAAUAAAAAUAAAAAUUGUAGUAAGUAAAUAAUACAAAAUUAAGUAAAUAACUUCACAUUAAAAAAAAAAAGUUUGCUAGGUCUCAAGGCAGAGGGAGGGUGUUGCCGGUGAUGGGAGGAGCUUGAACAGGGGUGGAGGUGUGAGAGCUGAUAUUUUAUUUUGAGAAGGUGAAGAGGCCACUUUGGCGUGUAGGAUGAUAUCAUGCUCACGCCCUGAGAAAGACGACACCCCCAAGGAGGCCCUUCGGAUGCACUUGAAGGAGGCUCGCGGGAGGGCAGGGGGAGGGGCAGCGGUGGGCGUGGCUGGCGGCCGAGGGUAAAGGGCAGGCUUCGCCGCGGCCUCCUGGGCGGACCGAGGAGGGCAGUGCUCCCGGUGCUGGGGCGUUCGGGCUCUCUCCCGGGCGGGACCUCGACCUGCGCGCCAGCCGCGGAGAGCCUUGUGCGUGCCCUUCGCGGAACACGGCCCGGUCGGGUCUGUUGGCCGUGAGACGGGGCAGACGGCCCUUGGGCGUGCGGGUGUGGCUCUCUCUAGAAGUUUGGGUCCUGCUGCCUGGGAAGAAGACUAGCUUUCCACCGGGUAGGAGGCUGCUUGCCGACAGCCCUGAAUUCAUUUGCUACCAUUUUGUGACCCUGGCUGGGGGAUUCCCCAGAUAGACACAUCUCCCCCAGUGGCUACCGGAAGUGUACUGUCAAGGCCAGUAACAGACCCGGAGCAAAGUUGGUUCCCUCCCCGCCCCGGUACUCCCUUCCCCCUCCUCCACCUGUCUCCCCUCCUCUACUGGCCCCCCCUCCCCACCUGUCCCCUCUGCUCCUCCUGCACCUGUCUUCCUCUCCUCUAUCAGCCCAGGCCCUCCUCCACCUGUCCCCUCUUCUCCACCUGUCUUCACUCCUCCUCCANNNNNNNNNNNNNNNNNNNNNNNNNNNNNNNNNNNNNNNNNNNNNNNNNNNNNNNNNNNNNNNNNNNNNNNNNNNNNNNNNNNNNNNNNNNNNNNNNNNNNCCCCCAGUGGCUACCGGAAGUGUACUGUCAAGGCCAGUAACAGACCCGGAGCAAAGUUGGUUCCCUCCCCGCCCCGGUACUCCCUUCCCCCUCCUCCACCUGUCUCCCCUCCUCUACUGGCCCCCCCUCCCCACCUGUCCCCUCUGCUCCUCCUGCACCUGUCUUCCUCUCCUCUAUCAGCCCAGGCCCUCCUCCACCUGUCCCCUCUUCUCCACCUGUCUUCACUCCUCCUCCACCUGUCCCCUCUGCCCCUCCUCCACCUGUCCCCUCUUCUCCACCUGUCUUCACUCCUCCUCCACCUGUCCCCUCUUCUCCAUCUGUCCUCACUCCUCCACCUGUCCCCUCUUCUCCACCUGUCCCCUCUGCCCCUCCUCCACCUGUCACCACCCCUCCUCUGCCUCAGCAUCUCCAAGCUUCCUGGGUUCUUAUUUCUACCCCCUCUCCUCCUAAGACCUGCCAAGUCUUAGAGGGGAGGCUGCCUCUGGCCUGGACGCAUUGGCUCUUCUCAGACCCCCUGAUGUGGAAUGCAUUCGCGGUCUCCCUGAGUCACGGUCUCCCUCGCCAUUCCUGAACCUACUUGGUGGCCGUGACACGUCGGAAGGCGGCCUGUCCGUUAUCCCAGACCGGGACUGGCCAAGCCCCACUUGUAGCACAUUGGGUCCUUUUGAGGAGCAUCUACUGGUUCCUUUAACUCCGUGGGGGAGGAGACUGUACGCGGGCAUCCGACGGAAGCGCAGGUUGAUUUAGCAGGAGGCUGCUUGUGCCAAGUGUGGGGACGGAGGUCUGUACUCCGCAGUGACCUUUCUAGAAGCUUCUACUCGUUCCCCCUUUACACACGUGACAUUUUUCUCCAACAACCUGGGUCCCACAGAUCAGGGGUCAGCAAAGGUGUCCCGCAGAGGCCCAGAUGGUGAAUAUUUCUGGCUUUGUGGGCCACGUGGUCUGUGUAGCGACUGCCCGGCUCUGCCGUGGUCACUGAGAGCAGCCGGAAGCCCUGCGCACAGGAGCGGGUGGCCGCGCUCCAAUGAAACGUAUUCAGGAGCACGGAAGGUGGGGCGCAGGAGGCCGGUGGGUUGGGGAUCGGAUGUGCUCCACAGUGGCCCAUGGUGAGGAGGUGCUGGGGUCCUGAACACGGGGUGGCCCAUUGGAAAGAGCAGACGGCCAGGCACAGUACGCGGGGCCUCAGCCAGGGUGAAGGAUGCCCUUGGGGGACAGUCUGGCGGGAAGAAUCUGGAAGAGGGGGACAUUAGGAGUUAGGAAGUUCUGUCUCUGGUGGAGGGACUGAGGUGAGCGGAGGUUGGCCAGGGCAGGUCGGGGAAGGACACAGCCUUAGCGAGAUGCUAGGAGACCUCCGGUCAGCCUCGGGCGGCCCCUGGCCCUGUUGCCACGAGCCCGGGUUCUUAGAGAUGGGUGCUGUGUCAAGCACGGCUUCACAGAGCACACCCAGCAGUCCGCGUGGCCUUGGGUCCCUGGCUCAAGGCGGCAGACGGAAACGUCAGAGUGGAGAUGCCAGCCGGAAGAGAGGUGGCCGGUGCCUCGGAGAAGCGCAGGGCGGCCACCCAGUGCCUCCUGUUGGCCUCCAGGUUGCGGGUUUGGGAGGCCGGGGGGGUCGGUCCACGCUCCCGCCGCCACAAGUGACCAGGGCCCGGGUGAGAAGCUCCCGGAACAGCCGGGGCCUUGCUGUGUUCCCACCGAGGCUCUGGCCGGAUGAAAGCCCGUCAGGGCCCCAGGCCUGGUGUUGGGAGCCGCGAGCCAUCAGGACCCUCGGCCCCGACGGUGAGGUGUGUGUCUGGCGGUGCCAGCUGGGUCCCGCCGGUGCACGUGUGUCUCCUUGGCAGAUUCUUGGGGUACCAAGGAGUGAGUUUUCCAUCUCGGCCUUGAGGUGUUUGCAGCCCACGGGGAGCACGAGCUAGAGACACGGGGGCCCCAAGAGCCCUAGGUGCACACAGCAGGAUUCGGGGGUCAGGCGGGCGCAGGGCCCCCUGGGUGUGGUGGCUGGACUCAGCCUCCUGGCACCUCGCACAGCGUGUCUCUCCUGAGACCCCCUCCCCUCUCAGCAGACCCUGGGGAGCUACUCAGACUUGGGGCAAGCCUAGCGGCCAGCAGAGCAGCCAAGACCUGGGUGUCACAUGCCGCGUGGCCCGCUGGUGACAAAGCCCUCCUGAGGGACAGAGGUCAUGCUCUGCGCCCCUGCCCCAGGCCAGCGUAGGGGAGGAGCCGGGAGAGGUCUUGCAAAUCAAGUCCACCUGACGGCCAGGCAGCGGCUCCAGGGAGGGAUGGAGACAGGGAGCGGGGACACCUUUGUGUGAUGGAAUUGUCACAUAGAUUAAGCUGGCGUUCGGCAGAAAAGAGGGCUGUCGGCCUCUUCUGUCCCAGGCCCCCAGCCACCCCACUGCCCUCGAGGGCCGUCCAGUGCUCCGAGGACGCGGAUCUGCCCCUGUGCCUUGCUUUGAGUUCAGACGAAGCUUGCUGGAUCCUCCUGACCCUCUGGGGGUGGCCCUUCCCCUCCCUCCUCCUCCCUCCUUCUGGGGAGCCGGGGCUGUGUGGGGUUAGGGUUAGGUGUGUGGGGAGGCAGGCUCUGGCAGGGACAACUGUGCGCGCCCUGAUGAUGACGUCAGCACGACCCUCCUCUGUGGCGAAGUCUGGCAGUUCCCAGCCACGCCCCAGGGCAAGGGGUUCAGUCCUGACCUGGGAUCCCACUGGCUGCCAGGAUCCCACUGACCGGAUCCCACUGGCCGGUCACAUCACUGGGUCUGACGCGCCCCCGGAAAGUUGGCACCAGGGGCCUGGACCCAGCUGGCCUCGCUGGUCAGGGCCAGAUUUUCCAGGAGCCUGGUUUCCAGGGUCAGGGGCAAUCCCCAAACCUGCUGGGGUGCAGAAAAGCUCCUCCAGGCCUCCUGCCUGGCCCUGUGCUCCCGGCCUCUGCCUGGAGCCCCUGGACAGACCCGCUGGCUCCCCACGUCCCCCUCGUGACGGAGCCGUGGGGGUUUCAUUCUCCCCGUCCCGUCGAUCCUUGGAGGGCCCCGUGACGUGGUGCUGUCCCGGCCGUGAGAGCCACGGCCACGGCCAGCACCCAGGUCUCCCUCGAGAAGCUUGUCCCUGCCUUGUUCCUCUGCCGUAAGAUGCGGAUGGAGGUGUCCCAUCCGUCCUGUCCAGGGAAGAAACCAGCCCAAACCCUGAGCUGGGGGGUGGGGGUUGUCCUCCUUGUCAAGCCCCGGUGCUGAGCUCUCUGACUCACCGCCCUGUCACCCCAGGUGGCCUGUGAGUACGGCAUGGUGCACGUGGUCUCCGAGUCAGGGGGCCCCAGAGGCAAGGACUACUGCAUUCUCUACAACCCUCAGUGGGCCCACCUGCCCCACGACCUGAGCAAAGCGGUGAGUACCCACUGGGGCGUCCCCUCUGGGGCCCUGCAGGCCCGGAGUGCUCUGGGGUGCCCCCUCCUGACUUGGGGUCCGGUCUGUGUUGCUGGCUGCCACCCUCCGCUCCCCAGCCUGCUGUCUGAGGGGACUGCUACAAGUCUUACCCUGCAGGGAACCAGCUGGAGGACAGAGGAAGGGCCUCAGCUGGGAAACCAACGUGGGGGGCCUGGUCACACUUGAGGGGCUGCUGGGGUCUCAGACGACCGUAGAGGGGCCCCAUCACCUCUCUGGGGCUUGGUUUCCUUGGUCAGAAACAAAAGGACGUUUGGGUGGUGUUGAGGCACAGCCCCUGCCGGGGGCGCUGGCCACCCCCCACGUGCUGGAUGGGCUUGUGGGUGAUUCUCACUGCCGAGGCCACGGCUCCCGCCUGCCCAGCCCGUGUUCCGUUUGCAGUGGAUGCUGGGAAGGUUUCUGGGGGCUUUUCUCUGAGCGCACGCCACCCCCUGCCCCUUCCGUUGGCCUCGCGCUCAGCCGUGUGGACGUGUGUGUGUGUGUGUGUGUGUGUGUGUGUGUGUGUGCGGCCCCCCACUGACUUUUCUAGAUCAGGUGGUGUCAACGCCCCCUUCCCCAGUCCCUCCUGCAGCUGCGGGACUGGACGGCCUCUGUGCUCUGCUCUCCGCCUGACCUCCCGGCCAAAGGCUUCAGCAACCAGAUCCCGCUGGUGGCGCGGGGAAACUGCACCUUCUACGAGAAAGUGCGGCUGGCCCAGGGCGGCGGGGCGCGCGGACUGCUCAUCGUCAGCAGGGAGACACUGGUAGGGCCCCGGGGCCUCGAGACCGGGGUUUGGUUUGCUGACCGUGGCUGCGGACCCGUGUCUCUUGGAGGGGGACCUGUUCCUGAGCAGUCGCGGGGGCUCUGGGGAGACCGGAUCCCAUCUCGCUCUACAAGGCCUCGGGGCAGAGCUCGGGGGUACCCUCUGAGGAGCAGCUGGCAUGGGCCCACAUCCCACGUGCCUGCCUCUCCCCCAGGCAGGCCCCCCUCCCCCCCCCCAGAGCAGAGUGACACCUGAGCAACCUGACCCCAAGGCUUGAACACGGAAGGAGAGCUUUUCCUCCCCCGGUGGGGAGGGGCAGACCCCCCCCCCCCGCCACACACACACACACCCCGGCCCAAGCUGCCUCCGGGAGGGCUAGCUCUUCAGGCCGCCUCGCCCUUGGGAAGCCAAGGGCCCCCCUCCCGCCACACCCUCCUCUCGGCCCCCAGGUCCCUCCAGGAGGCAACAAGACACAGUACGAGGAGAUCGGCAUUCCCGUGGCCCUGCUCAGCUACAAAGACAUGCUAGACAUUUUCAAGGUAGGGUUUCCCACGUCCUCUGGUCUGCGGCUGUUGCCAGGCCGUGAGUAUCUGGCGGGCAGGGGUGGGCAGGGACCCACGAGUGAGGCCGCCCACCCGGGGCCGGUGGUGACACUGACCCGUGGGAACGGAGACGCUGGCCCCAGCGGUCAGAGCGCCCAGGCUCCGGGGCCUCUGUGCCGAGCGGCAGCCGGACACUGGCUUCCGGGCCAGACCGGCCGGCCCCGCCCACACGCCAGAGACCCUGAGCUUGGCUCUCCCUGCCCACACACGGCCCCGUCUGACCAGAGGCCUGUGUGCACCCACCAUCGGGGGAGUUGUUGGUUCCAGAACAGGCGAGCUUCCAGACACAAUUAAAAUGGAAACGUUCAAUCUUUGUGGAAGCUUCUGGCAAUUUGCAGGACAUGUCUCGAUCCUGAUUGCAGCCUCACAGCUCCCCCAAGGGAACCAUUGUCGGCCUCCUGCAUGCUUCCCGGGACGACGUCCCCACUCCCGCACGCGCACACGCAUCUAGGUUUAGGAUUCGUGUCCCCGCACGCGCGUGGGCCCCUUCACCGGACGUCGUGUGACACUCGUUCCGACAGUUGACUUCUCUGGGGUGGGAGUGGCAGGCGAAGGCUCUCCCCGGGCCCCGGCUCCCCACGCGUGGGCUGGUCUGGGCUCUCUGGGUGGCCGAGGGGGCGGGACGGCAGCCCCCGCCUUGAGCUCUGGUGCCUUCCCCGAGGCAGAGUUUUGGCCGAUCGGCGAGGGCAGCGCUGUAUGCCCCCAACGAGCCCAUGCUUGACUACAACAUGGUCAUCAUCUUCGUCAUGGCCGUCGGCACCGUCGCCCUCGGGGGCUACUGGGCCGGGAGCCGGGACGUGAGGAAGUGAGUGUCCCGGGGAGACCUCUCCCUGGCCGCCCAGGGAAGCCCGUGACGCGGUCGGUGCCGGGUUGGGGGUCCGCGGGUGGUCCUAGCACUGGCCGAGGGCAUCGCGCCUCUUUCCAUCAAAAGCGGCCGUCACGGCUUGGCUCCUCCUGGGGCUGGGGCCCGCCUGGCAGCCCCUCGCCGCGUGGUCUCGCGAGGUCCCCGGGGUGGGGUCCGGCUCUCUCGUCGAAGGGACGGCAGGGAUGUGUGAUGGGCGUGGAGGGGCCGCCCCUCAGCCCCGCGGACGCCUGCGUCCUGCUGCCCCUGCCCGCCCCUCCCCGUCCCCGUGCCGGCCGGCAGGGUGCCCCUGACCCGGCUGUGCCUCCCAAGAAGGUCCAUGAAACACAAGCGGGAUGACGGGCCCGAGAAGCGGGAGGACGAGGCCGUGGACGUGACGCCCGUCAUGAUCUGUGUCUUCGUGGUCAUGUGCUGCUCCAUGCUGGUGUUGCUGUACUACUUCUACGACCAGCUCGGUGCGCCCCCGGCUCACCAGAGGGACGCCGAGGCCCGUACCCCCGCUCCCCGGUCCCGGGUCCCCCCUCCACCUGCUUGCGGGGUUCCACUUGAGAAGGCGGUGGUGGGGCGAACGCGGGCCGCCACCGCCGGCCCGAAGGAGGGGACCUCUGCUCGGGGAACUGUCCCUCUCGUUACCAGCUGCCGGCCACCCAGCUAGGGUGCACGAACACCUGGAGCCCUUUCUCGGGCGGGGGGCCAGGGUGGGAGACCCAGGUGGCCCCCGGCCCUCAACGCUCGCCCCACCCCGCCCCGCAGUCUAUGUGAUCAUAGGGAUCUUCUGCCUGUCCUCCUCCACGGGCCUCUACAGCUGCCUGUCUCCACUGGUCCAGAGGCUGCCGUUCGGCAGAUGUAGGUAAGCCCCCCGCGGGAGGCCCCUGCCCGGCCCUGCACCCCCGGCGCCGCUCACUGAGGUCCCACCUUGCCACCUUUCCUCGGCCUGUCCCUGGUGCGGUCUCCCGUCUCCCGGCCCCUGGAGCUCCAAGCUCUGCUUCAGUGGUGCCGAGGACCCCCUCCCUGUCCUGUGGCCCCCGGCCAGUCUGGCGUGGCGUGGGCAGGCCACGCGUGCUCACUCAGUGCAGGCUGGGGCUCGCGGCCUCAGGAGUAGGGCGGAGCAGAGAGGCGGGUGGUGGUUCCCCAGCCUCUCUCUCCCUGCAUCCCAUUCCGGGUCAGGCCCAGUGUCGACACCGGGGCUGAAGCGGGGCGAUGUGGAUGCAUGUGGGUCCAGGGCAGGGGCGGCAGGGCAGGGCCGUGUGGCCGAAGGCGCUGCCGGUCCAGGCCCCUGGGGCCCUCGGCCGCCAGGGGCCAGUGGCCGAGCGCUGAAAGGUUUGAAGGAGGGCAGGGCCGGCUCGGCGCUGGCUGGGGUCUGCCCACCCCCACGUGCCAACCCCUGCUCUGUCUGCCCUGGACCUGGGGGGCCUCCCUUCUAGAAGUCAAUUAAGAGGUCAGGGCAGAGUUCAAUAGGGAACGGAGGCGGGGGCAGCAGGAGGCCCCGUAAGGAUGAGGGGCCCAGGGUUUGGGGCAGGGGUGGAAGUGACCCUCUGGGUGCUGGGUGGAGGUGAGGAACAAGCUGGCCCUGACAGCUGCGCCCCCCCCCCCCGCCCCCAGGGUCCCCGACAACAGCCUGCCCUACUUCCACAAGCGGCCUCGGGUCGGCAUGCUGCUCCUGGCGCUGCUCUGCUUGGCCGUCAGCGUGGUGUGGGGUGUCUUCCGGAACGAGGACCAGUGAGUGCCCCCCACCGCGGGCUGUCCUCAGGUGCCCUCUGUGCUCGUCUCCCCGCGACCGUGAGCCGGGCUGUGUGGCGGCCAGGUGCCGCCCGCGUCCGGUGCCACUGGGUUUGUCGGCUGCCACGUGAACCGUGAUUGGAAUGUGGAUAUGGUUCCCGCGAAGCCUCCCGGCCCCGGGCGCCCUGAGCGAGCGCGUGGCCUCCGGGGUGCCCGCUGGUGCAGGGAGGCCCUGGCCGCCGGCCCCUGACACCACCUGGCGCUCCCUCCGAGCCUUUUCUGGGGCGGUUAACCGCUCUUGGCCGCGCUGCCGUUUGGAGCCACGACAGCUUUAAUUGGGCAGAAGGAAAACGUGAAAAUAUUUUGAGUCCUUUGUACACAAAGGGAACACGAGCUCCCACGGUUAGAUUCGAGCCACAAGACUCGCUCUGUUCUUUAAAAUUAGAGCAGGCCCAGUUCCCUCUGCGUCUGGGCGCCCACUGGCCGCCCGCAAGCCUCCUCUUUGUUCUUUGCGGCUGCCCCGGCCGGGAGAUGUUUUCAUCCCGGUCUGAUGAGUAACCUGGGCCGCGGCCUCCUUGCCGCCCCAGCGCGGGCGAGCCUGUGGACCGGGCGGGGUGGCUUGUGUGUGUGUGUGGGGGGGAGCUCCCUGCAGCUGCUGGGGUGACAGUCUUACCCGCCCCCCCCNCCCCCCCCCCCCCCCCCCCCCCCCGCCGCCACCUUGCAGUCCCUGAGCUCCCAUUUCUGGCACCAAGAGAUUUGGUGUAGAACCUGGCUGGCGAGCAUUUGGCUUUGCUAAAUCACAUAAAAAAUAGUUUUGAAGCAAACCCGAGUCCAGUAGAGUCCAAUAGUUGCACAGUGUCCCCACCCCAUCCCCCCGCCCCGUCCCGUGAUGUGGGGGUGAACGCCACCACCCAAGAGAGACAGCCCCUGAGCGUGUGCACCCAUUCCUGCCUCACUCCCCCCGCCUCCCCCCCCAGCCUUGGUCCCGUGCCUGUGUCUUCACAGCAUGGGGUCGGGCUGGGAACGGACAGCUUGCACAAGCUGGGAGCCAAGGUGGCCAAGGAGGGAGCGACCCGCCGGGUCAUAGCUCUUGGUGGAGCCCCUGCCCCAGCGGGUGACCACCACUCUGCUCCCCAGGUGGGCCUGGAUCCUUCAGGACGCACUGGGCGUCGCCUUCUGCCUCUACAUGUUGAAAACCAUCCGCCUCCCCACUUUCAAG
rnacentral:lncRNA from 1 species